GCGAAAUUGCUGUUCAAAGAGCAGCUGUCACGGAAUGAGGUUAGCCGUGCACCUGUUAAACCCGUUCAUUUGCCGCCGCCGCCGCCUUCCGUUUCACUUCUUUAAAUUGCCCGACAUGUCGGCCGCGGCUCGCCUCUGAGUGAUGAGAAGCGGGGAAAAAGCUUAGGGGAGCGUGCCAGACGAGAACCCAGUGAUCCAAAUGGAAGUGGAAGUUGGACGUUUAGUUCAAACCAUUGUCAGCGAUCAGGUCGUCUCUUCAAAAAGAACCUCCAGUUAAAAACGGCGUCUGAUCAAGUGGAACAUUGGGGACCUUCUGCAGUUUGUUGUGCUCCGUUCCGUCGCUACGAGCGUGACCCGAAGGGCAAAACACGGGGUUCCGCUGCGUACGUCGAAAGCCGCGUGGUUAUCUUUGACCCCGAGCGCCAGAGUGACAGCGGCUGACCUCGGAGUCGACAGCCUCUCCCUCUGCUGCGUGAGGAGCCCCAAUGCGUCACGAAGCGGCUUCUCCCGCCUGCUCGUGUUUACCGCCGGUCACGACACUUUCUCCGCUCGAGCACCGUCAGUCAAGCGACAAAUCGGCAGCGACUGGUGGAACAAGAUAGUCAGAGGGUGGUCGCGAAGGUUCAAGUCUGACAUCCAAUUAGCUGCUUCAGUAAAACGUGAAGGGAAAAGGUGGCAUUAUGACCAUUACAUCGAGGAAAAUAACUUUAAUUUGUAGUGCAUGCAUUGGUUUUAAGUGAAUAAAUUACCCUUUUUAUGCAUUCUGAUC
ensembl:lncRNA